UACAGAGGUCUCAAGCGUUGUUCGGAUUCAUUGGGCGUAAAGGGUGCGUAGGCGGCGCGGUAAGUCGGGUGUGAAAUCUCGGAGCUUAACUCCGAAACUGCAUUCGAUACUGCCGUGCUUGAGGACUGGAGAGGAGACUGGAAUUUACGGUGUAGCGGUGAAAUGCGUAGAUAUCGUAAGGAAGACCAGUGGCGAAGGCGGGUCUCUGGUCGACCUCUGACGCUGAGACGCGAAAGCGUGGGGGAGCGAACGGG
rnacentral:rRNA from 1 species